CAAAACUUAUCAUAAAUCUUUACAUCAGCGUAUAUUCAGUAUGUAGGCUCUUUCUUCAAAUUCCCUGAGAGCAACGUGUUGGACCCUGCAUGUAAAGACACUAUCAUUGUCCUCAAUUUGAGGGACGAAAUUUAAAAAGCUCCACAUUGAAUGGAGUCCUUUUGCACUGGCGACGCAGGGUGAGUUUGAAAUUCCAAUGUUCAGUUUAUUGUUAUUUUUGAACCAUUCCACUGUUAAAUCAGUAGGAGAAAAGUUACUAAUCUGGCAUCUGAGUUGAAGAUCUUCCCCCGCGGUGGGAUUUUGAGGGUCUGCUGUAAUCCAGUUAACGAUGGGAGGUGUUCCUGAAAAUAAAGAAAUGGAAGUCAAAGAAAUAUAAC